ACGCGAUGGCGGCCCGCGGCGCAUGACGGCGGAUCAGGUUGACGACCUGAUCGAAGAGCGGCAGCAGCGGCUCGGCGCCGGAUCAGUGCCCGGCCGCCGCCUUC
rnacentral:tRNA from 1 species